GACGAACGCUGGCGGCGUGCUUAACACAUGCAAGUCGAACGGAAAGGCCCUGCUUUUGUGGGGUGCUCGAUUGGCGAACGGGUGAGUAACACGUGAGUAACCUGCCCUUGACUUUGGGAUAACUUCAGGAAACUGGGGCUAAUACCGGAUAGGAGCUCCUGCUGCACGGUGGGGGUUGGAAAGUUUCGGCGGUUGGGGAUGGACUCGCGGCUUAUCAGCUUGUUGGUGGGGUAGUGGCUUACCAAGGCUUUGACGGGUAGCCGGCCUGAGAGGGUGACCGGCCACAUUGGGACUGAGAUACGGCCCAGACUCCUACGGGAGGCAGCAGUGGGGAAUAUUGCACAAUGGGCGGAAGCCUUAUGCAGCAACGCCGCGUGCGGGAUGACGGCCUUCGGGUUGUAAACCGCUUUCGCCUGUGACGAAGCGUGAGUGACGGUAAUGGGUAAAGAAGCACCGGCUAACUACGUG
rnacentral:rRNA from 1 species